CUGUGCUUCACCCCUAGCGAAAGGGCGAUCGUGUCCUGGGACGUGGCUGGAUGGGUUGGGCUGAGAGAGACUGACUGGCCCAAAGUCACCCAGCCAGCUUUCAUGCUUAAGAAAAUCAAGAGGCCUCGGGAUCCGGGCACAGCAGAGCCACCCACACACCUCAGUGGAGCAAUUAAGUCCAGAACAUUGACCACCUUCAUAUUCUACAGAUUAACCAGAUAUGAGUCAGAACUCUCUGCUAAAUUGUCAUCUGGAUUUGUUAGACACCCGAGGCCAAUCUAAUCGAUCCACUGCCCUUGAAGGAGGUCAAGGCUACUGAGAUCCAUAAUCUGAUGAGAAAACGAACUGACCAUGGCAAAAGAUAAAAGUUAAUUCCUCUACCUUCAGAUCGCAUUUCACCUGCUGUAAAAUAAAAGCCAAUUCAAGUCUGUA